ACACACACAUGAAGAUGAGGGGUACCAUGCCGAGGCUCGAGAAGGCCAGUGGGCGUAGGUGUGCGAGUGCGACCUCACCGUCGACACCACGACCUUUUCCGUGCACUGCCACGCCUAAGCCUCCUCGGACGCGUCCAAGCAGGUAAAGAAGGGGGAUUCGAUCAGGAGACGCUAUGGAUGCGCUCCAGUGCAACCUCGUCUGCACGUGCUCCUGCACCCGCCUCAACGUCGUCCCCUCUCCGCUUCCCGGCCACGCGCACUGAGUUACCUGUUGAUCCAGCGGGGAAUCGACCUCUCCAAGGUGGCAGUGCUCGUCGGCGACAUUGACGGCCAUCUAUUCCCGGGGUAUGAUUGACCCCAGGAGGCUCCUCCCGGGGUCAUACAAGACGGUGAUCCUGUGGGAGCUAGUCGCCCACGGCAGCAAGCAACCCCUCCGCGGUGAGGACGGGUACGCCAUGGAGGACGUGGUGGCCAUGGACUCCCCCGACACCGCCACCCUCACUCAAGGCCAUCUUCGCCGGUGAGUGGAGAGAGGAGAAAGGUGAGGGAGGGACGACAGUUGGAAAAGACGGGAGAUGCAAGGGGGUAUGUGCAACUUUAGGCCUAUGUGGCAUAAAUCAAGUUGCUACGUCGGGAAACACAGUUAGGACCUGCGAUGAACCGUUUUAAAAAGAUUUAGGACUCAUACAUGCAUUUUCAAAGAUUUGGAACUAACUUGACAUAUUUACAAAAGAAUUAGGACCGGUGGUGUAUUUUACUCAAAUAAGAAUUUUAUCAUGUCAUUUGUGUGGAACUCA